GAUGAAGAACGUAGCAAAAUGCGAUAAGUAAUGUGAAUUGCAGAAUUCAGCGAAUCAUCGAAUCUUUGAACGCACAUUGCGCCCGCCAGUAUUCUGGCGGGCAUGCCUGUUCGAGCGUCAUUUCAACCCUCAAGCACAGCUUGGUGUUGGGACUCGCGUUAAUUCGCGUUCCCCAAAUUGAUUGGCGGUCACGUCGAGCUUCCAUAGCGUAGUAGUAAAACCCUCGUUACUGGUAAUCGUCGCGGCCACGCCGUUAAACCCCAACUUCUGAAUGUUGACCUCGGAUCAGGUAGGAAUACCCGCUGAACUUAAGCAUAUCAAUAAGCGGAGGA
rnacentral:misc_RNA from 1 species